rnacentral:lncRNA from 7 species
GGAGAGACAUUCAGAUAUCAUCAGCCCUUGUUUUCUUAUUGUAAACUGCCAUUUGCAGCGCUUGUGACAAAACAGGCGAAGACUUGCUGUUUUGCAGAGAAAAUUCACAUGGGAUCUAACUCAGAAACUGAAUCCAUAGGAGAAUAUCACAAUGUUCAGGACCAAACAGCGUGUUAACCCCAGGCAAAUAUUCACUUCUCUUCUCUUGAGUAAUGAGUAGAAGUAAUCUUUGCAGUCUUAUUCAGCAAUUAAUUAUCAUGACCGCAGUACUGUCUAAAACAUGAAAAGUAUUCUUUCAAUGUAGUUCUGAAAUAACACUACAGUUUCUUACACUAUAGCAGAUAUUUUGAUCCUGGAAAAUCAGUAGCAUUGAAAUGAUGAUCCAAAAUAUUUUGUAAGAUAAGUUUUUGUGUGUUUUCCCCACUCUCUUAGGUUUAAAAAGGGAAAACAGAAAAUAUCCUUAUACAGAAAUGUGACUAAAUUUUAAAGAUAUGUUGUGGAAAUCGCCUCCUUAAGUUUGUGGGUUCCUGAAUUGUCUUUGUCUUUUUAAAGUCUGAGUCUUCCAUGUUGUUCCAACAUCUGCAAAGCUUUUCAGUAAACUAAGAAUUGCACCAGUUGUUCCACUGUGCAUGAGUUCCAGACGGUGUUCAUUAUGCAGUAUAUGGCAUGAUCUUUGGUGGAUAGGUUUUGCUGGAGUGUACCCGUACCAUGUGCCUUUCUUUUCAGUUCCUAAGUUCUUUGUUCUUUUCUUAACAAUUCUUUGCCAUAAAAUGCCAUGUACUAUAAACUGUGAGGUACAUUAUUCUUGGCUAAUUGAAGCUGGAACUGUGUAAUAAUAGUCCUCAUUUUAGACCUGCUCUGCUACAAUUGCAGAUAUUUCAAUUAUAAUAUAGGAAGCAAUGUUUCCAACAUUUUAUAUAUAUCUUUAUAAACAAGACUCUGACAGUACUGAAUCAAGGUUGGUGAGGAGGGCUGUAUAUUCCUCAAAUGCAUUCUGAACUCUGUAACCAAAAAAGAGAAAAUAAGUUUUAUUCUUCUGCAUGGAGUCUGGAUUGAGAGUUUUAAAAUUUUAUGAAGUCUUGACAUAUUGACAGUGUGGAAAGCACCAGAUCCUGUGUUCUUGUGGUUUGUAGGAGACUGGCAUGUUUUUUUUUAAAUUUGUUCUCUGCUUUGACUUCAUUGAAAGCUUGAAACUGAACCCAGCACAGGCUGGAAACCUAAAAAGACAAGCAGAACACUUUAAAAGAAAAUAAAAUGGAAAAC